UCCGAUAUGGUGUAACGGCUAACAUUACCGCCUUUCACUCGUUGAGUGCGCGGUAGCUCGGGGUUCGAUUCCCCGUAUCGGAG